GAAAAACCCCAAACUCCUCCGACGCUUCUGAAGGAGAAAUGCCCAGGAGACGACUUAUGCUCAACUCCUAUUCCGAUGAAGACGAAGAUCAAGAAAAUCAACUACAAGAGCAAGACCAUGAGAAUGGAGUUCAUUCCCAGCACAAGCCUGCUGCCAAUCAUCUGCCCUCAAACCCUAACCCUAACCUCCCGGAACCAGUCCCUAUCUCAGACGACGACGAUUUCGUUGACGUCUCCGACAAUCUCACUCCUCCCUCCCCUCCACUGGAUCCGAUCCCUAAUCACUCGCCGCAACAAUCGCCACCUGUGCCUCCGGGGACAUCUGGUUGUCCGGUUGGGGAUUUUCUCUUAAGGAUGGGAUUGAAGUUAAAGAGAGAGUGGUUGAAUUCUUGUCUUCACGGACUUGAGAGCUCUGUUCGGCACCUUGAUGUUGAGGCCAAGGCCAAGCUUUGCUUCCAGCAGUUUUUGUUUUCAGAUAUGAAUUAUUGCGGCGGUGGUGUGCUUCCCCCAAAUGUGGAUUCCAUGCAUCUAGUUCAUCUCGCUGGGCCAUUUGUGUUGCAGGUUGAUGAGAUUGUUAAUAUUAGUUGUCCCCUCAAAGGCAGGUAUCAAGAUGCUCCAUCAGGGGUCAAGAGGUGCCUCAAAUUAUCCAUGACAGAUGGACUUCAACGUGUUUUUGGCAUGGAAUACAGGCCUAUCAAGGAUCUCCAAGUCUUAGCCUCUGCAGGAUUGAAGGUUGUAAUCUGUAAUGUGCAUAUCCGGCAUGGGCUUCUAAUGCUGGUCCCUGAAGCUUUAGAAGUUCUUGGAGGGAUGGUUGAUGAGUUGGAAGCAGCACGCCAACUUCUUGUUAAUGAAGUAAAUAAGCCACCAAGGGGAAAAAGAUCAAGGACAGGAGUGGUGCCUCCUUUAGCUACUAGAGCAACUCUGGCUGCAUGGCCUUGUAAUGCUGUUAAUAUUCCUGGAAAUACCAAUACCUCUGUUGAUGUCCAUGGAAAUACCAAUAGCUCUUCUACUGUUCUCAGCCAUAACAAUGAUUUUGUCAAUGUCCUUGGACAAACCAAUCCUUCUGUUAGUGUUCAUGGACAUGCCAAUAGUUCUGAUGUUAUUAGAUCCGCCAAUAGUUCCAUAUUACAAGAUGUAACUCCCUUUCAGGCAGACCAAGGUGCUACUAUUGUUGCCCCUGGAACUAGUCGAAGGACUACAGAAGAAUUUACUGCUUCAAUGAGCUCGGGGAACACCAUGCGUAAUUCAUCAUCUAGUGUUGUUUCUGAUGUUGAGGAGAUGCAUAUUGAUGCUUCCUUUAACAGGGAAAAUGCUGUUUCCAAUGUCAUUUCGAAUCAUGAGGAUGUCCAUAUGGUUGAUGAGUUUGAACACCCCCUCAUAUUAUCUGGAGAUCGAGAAAUCCCAUUUACAUACUUGGCUAGUUUGUCUGCUAAGUGGGCUGCGAUGAAGGAAAAAACAUCUUUUGUCCAAGGAAAAGUUAAGUGCUUUUUGACUGGUGUAAAGGGGUUCCAGUAUAAGCGGAGGACAACAUAUGAGCUUCGAGUUUAUGUUGAUGAUGGCAGCCUCAUUUCUGAGAUCCUAAUUGAUCACGAUGUGGUACAGAAGGGAAUAGGUCAUUCUCCUGAGGAGGUCAUUGCCGCUCUUUCUUCAUCAGAUGCAAAGAGAGUUGGUGAUAUGAAGGAAACACUGAGACAGUUCCAAAUAUUCUUAGUGAAUUUUGAGGGAACAAUGCGUGUAGAGAUGAAUCGAACCUCUCCUCUUCCAGUUGCCCUUGAGAUGAGCCGAGGCUGUUCUGCUUCUGAUGCUUGGUUGCUAAUGAGAAGGCUGAAGUCUUCUGCUUCUGGUCAGAUGCCGCAGCGACCCUCCUCAGAUCCAAUUGACAUAUCACCAUGAUUGCCUCCUCUAAAUUAAUGCAUUUUUUCUCAGAAGGAAGUUUGGACCUUUAAAGUUGGUUAUGGUGAAAUAUUUCUUGUAGUUUUCUGAUUGAAAGAGGAAACUUUUGAGCUUUGUUAUUCAGAUUCAUGGGUCAUGAUUACUCUCAGCAGGCAUAAUGGCAGGCCAUGUAACUGAAGUUAUGAGAGAAACUAUGCAAUCAUUCCUGGUCUUCAGUUACAUGCCUAGAUGUAUGAGAAAUGGUCAGAGGAUGGAACUUUUCUGGGCUUGAUCCUGAUUCAAGUAAUGGUUUCACAAGAUUGUGAUCCAGGCCAGGCACCAUCCGCUGAAGGCUGGUUAACUGUUCAAGUCAUUUGGUAAUGAGUAGAGGCAAACUAGGAAAUGCAGUUUACCCCUGAACAAAGUGUAAUUUCAUGCGGUUUUCACCAUGCAAAUGCGAAGCCAACCAGAUUAGAUGGGAGGAGGCCAGCCUGGGUAAUACCAGUGAAAUCUGGAGAAGCCAUCGUCUUGAGUUCAUUGAGACUGCAUAUAUUAACACCAUUGUAUAUUCUAUCCUCCUUUUUGCCUUUUUAAGGAAAGCUGCCGUUAUCCAUACAGAGCACAAGCUGAGGAAAUUUUACUGUCUACAAUUCCUUUAUCUAAGUUAGCAGAUCAAGGAUCUUCUUGCUAAUCGUAUCUCUUUGUGACUGGCCGCAGCCCGGUAUUAAAAACAAACGGUUGCUCCGCUCUAUUACCUCGGGCAUAAAACCUUCCAAAAGAAUAUUGCACGGUAACAAGCUGGUUCUGUCAAGCAUUUCUCUCCACGGCAUGCACCUUCCACAAUUGCUUUGGCACACUCUCGAGUGGACUCUAGAGGUAUGACACUUGUUUGGACCUAACAGCAAAAUGUCUAGGUUAUAGGUACAAUUCGAGAAGACCCGCUUAUGUGAUGUAAAAUGCCAGUAGAAUCUUACAUCUCUCAUUUCUUCAUCCACUGCCAAUUGGCCUUGCUGAUUUAGGAAUUUUCCUCCGGUCAUUUCUGACUCGAUCAAUCCAGGAUUAACAAUUGUUAUUCCAAUUGGUGGCCCCAAUUCUAUCCUCAGUGUCUCGUACGUGCUAACCAGCGCUGCUUUACUUGCCUAUACCAUAGAGAAAACGGAAUUCGUCACAACCUAUAAUUCUAAAGGAACACGUGAGAUAGAGAGCACACACAUGCACUGAAAUGAAAGAUGCUCGACGGGAUACCUUACAUUAUAAAAGCUCAUUCUUGGGGCAGGUAGCCAUGAGGCACACGAAGCAAUAACUAUGAUCUUUCCUUUGCUCCUUUUUAAGUGAGGGAUUGCAAAGUAAGAGCUAUAUACUGAACCGCAGAAGUUACGUCCUAUAUGGAAGCUAUAUACUGAACCGCAGAAGUUACGUCCUAUAUGGAAAUCAUAACAUAGCAUGUUAAUGGAAACAUAUUUCUGUACAAAAAUCCUAUUCUUGUGUUUAUUGGAUGGUUUAUAAUUAAUACUAAAGCUUACUAGUGUCCUAUGUGA
rnacentral:misc_RNA from 1 species